UGGGGAACUCCUUUUGAAGGUUGCCUUGCAUCUCUUACAGGAAACCUUUGCCACUCUUUCUAAGUUCACUUUCUCCACCCGUCCCUGCAGGCUUCUUAGUCAUCUACUUGGCAGCUGCUGGGUCUGGGUUACUCACAGGCUUGCCUAAUCACACCUGGAAGAAGGGAGCUUGAAGCACGUCCCGAGUGAGCGAUGGCGCCCACGGGCUAGCCCGCCCUGCCCCUGCCUCUGCCUGGCCGGCCCACCGCCUGAUGUCACCCCAUGUGCACCAGGCCAAUCAGCACCACGGGUACUUCAGCGGGUACCUGGCAAGUGUCUCUGCAGCGAACUGGGCGGGACCGGGCGGGUCCAUUCUUCCCCCAGCCCUAACUCUGGGAACUUGCAUCCCAGCUCUGACAAGAUUUCCCUUUCCUCAUUUCUUUCGAGGCCCCUUCUGCCCUGGAAAGGUCAGGUUACAACUGAGAGUGCGAAUUGGAUGUACAGGUUUCCUGAGCCCAGGGCAUUGAAACAAUGAGAGAAAAUACCCUUCUCAGUGGUGGCUGCCCAGCUCAGGUCAUCUUCACAGCCACCUGUCAGACACCUCUCUCCCCUCAUUGAUGUAUUCCUUCAGUCAACAAAUAUGCUGAGCUGGACAGGGCCCCAAAGUGUCCGCUGUAUCAUGAAACAUAAAUUCUUGCAUUCAUGGAACUGGUAAUUAAUGGGACUGGAGAUAUCAGGUGAUAAAUGACACAUGUACAACUAUAUAAGAAAUCAAGUGCAAAAGAAAAGCAGAGCAAGCAUGCAAUGAGA
rnacentral:lncRNA from 1 species